rnacentral:rRNA from 1 species
UACGUAGGAGGCAAGCGUUAUCCGGAAUGACUGGGCGUAAAGGGUGCGUAGGUGGUUUGAUAAGUUGGUAGCGUAACUCCGAGGCUCAACCUCGGCACUACUACCAAAACUGUCGGACUUGAGUGCAGGAGGGGCAACUGGAAUUCCUAGUGUAGCGGUGGAAUGCGUAGAUAUUAGGAGGAACACCAGUGGCGAAGGCGGUCUGCUGGACAGCAACUGACGCUGAGGCGCGAAAGCGUGGGGAGCAAACAGG